GCUUGUCUCAAAGAUUAAGCCAUGCACGUCUAAGUAUAAAUAUUUCACUUUGAAACUGCGAAUGGCUCAUUAUAUCAGUUAUAGUUUAUUUGAUAGUCCCUUACUAUUUGGAUAACCGUAGUAAUUCUAGAGCUAAUACAUGCGUCAAUACCUUUCGGGGUAGUAUUUAUUAGAUUGAAACCAACCCCUUCGGGGUGAUGUGGUGAUUCAUAAUAACUUUCGGAUCGACGCAAGUCGAUGCAUCAUUCAAGUUUCUGCCCUAUCAGUUGUGGAUGGUAGGGUAUUGGCCUACCAUGACUUUAACGGGUAACGGAGAAUUAGGGUUCGAUUCCGGAGAGGGAGCCUGAGAAAUGGCUACCACAUCCAAGGAAGGCAGCAGG
rnacentral:rRNA from 1 species